rnacentral:rRNA from 1 species
AUUGAGCGCUGGCGGCAGGCCUAACACAUGCAAGUCGAGCGGAUGACGGGAGCUUGCUCCUUGAUUCAGCGGCGGACGGGUGAGUAAUGCCUAGGAAUCUGCCUGGUAGUGGGGGACAACGUUUCGAAAGGAACGCUAAUACCGCAUACGUCCUACGGGAGAAAGCAGGGGACCUUCGGGCCUUGCGCUAUCAGAUGAGCCUAGGUCGGAUUAGCUAGUAGGUGAGGUAAUGGCUCACCUAGGCGACGAUCCGUAACUGGUCUGAGAGGAUGAUCAGUCACGCUGGAACUGAGACACGGUCCAGACUCCUACGGGAGGCAGCAGUGGGGAAUAUUGGACAAUGGGCGAAAGCCUGAUCCAGCCAUGCCGCGUGUGUGAAGAAGGUCUUCGGAUUGUAAAGCACUUUAAGUUGGGAGGAAGGGCAGUAAGUUAAUACCUUGCUGUUUUGACGUUACCGACAGAAUAAGCACCGGCUAACUCUGUGCCAGCCGCCGCCGUAAUAC